CUGGGCAGAGCAGCAGUAAGGGGGACACCAGCUGAAGGGGAAGGAGUGUCUCUGAGAGUGCCACAGAGCAGCUGGGUGAGCAGCCCAAAGGUGGGAACUACAAAGCUGUGGAGAGACAGCAGCUGCACCACAACAAGACGGUUGGGAGCUGAAGCAUGAAGCCUGCGAAUGUGCAACCCCUUACAUUGAUCUGCUUCAAACCCCUCUGGCAGUCUGAUGCCAUGGGGCAGGUGUUUGGGAAGGCAGUGCUUGCUGAUGAGUAAGUAAUGCUUUGGAAGGAUUUGCAGUGAGAGAAGCAGCCCAUGAGCAUGGAGAAAUGGGAAAAUGUGCAGCAGAGGGUGAGGGUGCUGCUGGAGGCACCCGAGCACAUCGAGGAGAUGCUGAACUUGGCCGUACACAAGUUCUCCUCAAACCCUGAGACCUUGUGGAGUGCCAACAUCAGGUCAGCAGACCUCUGCAGUCAUUAAAAUAAGGUUUAAAUGAGAUCCUACUUUACAAUAGCAACUCUGUGCCACUCCCAAGAAAGUUGCCAUGAAGCAUCGUGCACUUGCAUUCACCCCUUUUCUUUGUGCGCCAAGUCCCAGAACAAGGUGAUGCAGCAGCCUUGAGUGUGUGUCUGUAAGCAUAUGUAAGCAAAGAGUCUAUGGAUGGUGCUCAGCACAUGCUCUGGGCCACUCUAAUGCCUCAUUUUAGAGAGUUGGCAUGUGUGAAGCAGGAGCAAAUGGACAGAGAGACAGCCACACAGAAGUACAGCUGAAACCAGCAUAGAGGAGAUGUCCUUGGUAUCUAAUCUAAUGUUAACUCCAUGUGUAAUGCAUUGUUGGUGCAUGCUUUCCCAUCUGAGUACAUAUUGUAAGUUUGGCAUAGCCCUUUUAACAUGAAGGUAUUCUUGCACAUGUUCUGCCUCUCACAGCUGGAAAUAGUAAAAGGAUGUUGAAUCUGCAUUCAGGCAGAUUUGGAGUUUGCAAAUCUUCAACAAUCUGUGUACUAAAAAGCCCAUCACAGUGUCUAUUGGCCAGCUUUCCUAGGGCACGGUCAUUGUUUUCAUUAUCUAGUAAUUGCUUCCUGCAAGAGAAAUGGCUGUUUGCUUUUGUGCUGUGCCACACUAUUCCAUGCACUACCUCCAUUCUUCACUCUUUGCAGUAUGGUGACAUGAGUAAAACUGAAGAUGUUUUCAGACUAAAUGGUUGACCUGGCAAGUGUGUGUUGAUAAAAAGUGUCUAUAGCUUUUUAAAAUGCCUGUUGGCAGAGUUUCAAAACUUGCAGUAUUCUUAAUUAUACUUACCUCUCCUCAGUCUUAUCACUAAGGUCAGUCCUACUAGGCUAUCACUAUUUAAAGAAUCACAUGGAAUCUUGUUUUGGUAGAUACGUUGCUUCAUAGCCAAUUAUGGGGUAACCUCUAACUUCUGGAUCAUAUUCUAGGUUACGAUUAGUGGCAAUUAGGGUUGGGUAAUUGACCGGUCAAAUAUUGGGUAAAAAAAAAAAAUUGUCAAUAGGUCCAAAUAUACACAGAAAAAGCACAAUUUUUUUUUUUAUUAUGAAAUAUGUCAAAAAACUAAAUCUUAUGUCAGAAAGCUACAAAAAUGUAAUUUUGGGGGGGUAAAAUCUUUACCCAGUCAAAAAUAUGCAGUCAACUGCCCGGUCAGCUGACAAUAUUUGACCAAUCAAUUGACUAGCUUGCCAGCCCUAGUAGUGAUGGUGAACUGAUGCUCAUACAGGCUCUUUGAAAAUUGACUUCAGUAUAGUUAUUAGAAAAGCAUUUGCUCACUAAUUCAGCUCUCAAGUGCUUCAAGAGGUCUAUGGACAUCAAAAAUGUUGAAUCCAAGAUUGAAAAAAGAAUGCUGCCACGGAUGGAACCAAUAUAUGAAACACCCUAGCAACUGACACACGAUGGAGCUGUGAUUGUGAAGCUUAGAAAAUGGCAGGCUGUACGUACCACUAGUUAUCAGCUGACCAAUUUUUUUUUUUCUCCCCCCCCCCCCCAUAAACUCUACACUAUAUUUUAUUUGACCUUUGAACUUCAAACAUGUCUUAUGUUUUGAUUCACUCCACCCAUAUUGAAAUAAUUCUUGUGGGCUUUUUCAUGUUACAACUUGGGUGCAUGCUACUGUGGUCAGUUUUAAUAGGUAUUAAUGUAGUGAGUAGCAAGCAAAUUAUAACUGUUUCACAUUAGGCAUAAUUUUACAGCAGACAAUUUUAUAAGGAGACUGGAAUGAAUCAAAUACAGUCAUUUGAAUUAAAAUAUCUUUUACAUUCCCAGUGUUGCAGUGGAACUGAUGACAAACCUAGAGAAGCAUGCUAGAACAAACAGACCAGAAAAUUAAAUUCUUCUAGCUUUCAUAUGCCACAGUAGGAACUAUUUAAUUUUUUUUCCUCUUCCUUUUUUUUUUCUUUCUGCCUUGGGAGAGGAGAAUGGCUAAGCCUCUCAUUUCCAAAUCCUGUUAAAUAUAUUUCCUCUUACAACUCUCAGAACUGUGAGCUCUCCCAUAUAAUUUGCUGUGAUCUAGUGGCAUUUCAUUUGCAUGGGAAUAAUAUCCCAUGGCUGAAGUGAAGGGUAGGGUCUCAGGACUCCCAUGCUUCAUUUUUUGGUUCUACUAUUGGCUGACUCUUUUUGUCAUUGGGUGAAUCACUUAAGGUCUGCGUAAAAGGCAGAAGCACGGUUCAGAGUCUUGCUACUAAAUCCUACCCUAUGGGUGUGUCUACACAUGCAAUUGAUGCAUUUUAAGAUUACUGCGCACCAAAAUAAGAUGCAGUAAACUGCACCCAGGAAUGCUUUUACAUGUGUGCCCACAUCACGAGCAAAUUUGCUUCCAACAAGAGCAGUUGAAUCCAGGGCUGCUACUGCCCACCUUCCCUGCUCUGCCUCACUGCAGCAGCCAGGAGGAGCUCCAGAUACCCACUGUGCCAGCCUCAGGCUGGCAGGAGGCACAGAGGUCAGACCUGGGCUCUGGGGAGCAGGGAACAGCUCUCAGCCACAUGGAGCUUGGGAUCGCAGCUAGGCUCAGUGACACCGAUUUUGAGUGAUGCCCCAUGGCCGAGUGGAAGCAGCGCCCUGAGGGGCCUUUGCUUGCUGAGAGGAUGAGGCAGCUCUCUAUCCCUGAUCCUAGCACUAUUUAGCUCCCAGCUCCCCGCAAAGAGCUGGGAGCUGAACAGCACUGGGAUGGGGGAGCUCUCUGUCCCUGCAGUGUCAGGCCAGGAACAGAAAGCUUUCCCAUCUCUUCAGUCCAGCCACUGCCUGUGCAGCUCACAGCCCAGUCAGCUCCAACUCCCUGCCUGUGCCUGGGAGGAUCCAGGAGCUGAGCAGUGCUGGGACAGGGUGAAGACAUGGUGGGGGGGCAGGGAGUAAGUAGCAAGGGGAGAUGCAGGGAGGUAAGCAGCACUAGGACUAGGGGAAGACAUGGGGGGGGGAUAAGCAGGGCUGGGAGUCUCCCCCUGGCCCUGGUUACUUCCCCCACCCAUGUCCUUCUUUUUCCCCUCCCCUCCCCCCAAUCCUGGUGCUGCUCAGCUCCUGGCUUCCUCCAGGCACCCGCUCCCUGGGAGUGGGAGCCAACCGGGGCAUGUGCUGCAUGCGCAGCAGCAGGGCUGAGGGGAUGGGGAAGCUCUUUGUCCCCAGCCCAGCACUGUGGAGACAGAGCUCCUCCAUCCCCUCAGCAAACAAAGAGAGGGGAGACCUCAUGGUGGUGCUGAGGCACCACACCAAACCAGUGCUGCUGAGCCAGGCUGCAAUCCUGAGCCCCACACUAGACCUGUGGACAGCUUCCCCUCACCCCCUGUGGCCCUCUGCUGCCUAAGCUGACUGGGAAGAAAUUGCUCCCAGUCAGCAUUGACAUGUGUGCUACUGUGCAGUAGCUAAUGUGCCAUUAGUCUGUUACCUAUAUUUGUUGGUAUGAGCAAAUGGCACAUUAGCCUAAUUUACUGUGCAGUAAGUACCAUGCAUGUCUAGAUGGUGAUGCAUUACUGCAUAUUAGUCUAAUGUGCAGUGAAGCAUCUUAAGUAGACCCUAUGUACAUCCAUCCUGGCAACAAGGCUGUGGGGCCCCACUCCCUAGAUCUGGGCUUCUGGUGGGCUCAGAAGGGAUAGCUUUGGGUGCCCCAAGGGUGUCCUUACCUCCUCAUUUCCAGAGUGGAUGAAUAUGGAACGGGAGUGAGAACAAGAGAGAGGAUCGUUCUUCAGCAGCAAGACUGAGCAUCCUGUCACCACAGCACAGGCAUACCCUGAAAACCUCUGAACCAUGUCCUCAACUGAUACACAGCAAUACAGCUCUAUCAGUUGGUGUUCUGUCUUUUGUUUUACAUUUUUUUUUUUUAAAUAAGGAUAAUAAAGCAGUUAUGAUAUCAGUCACAUAUGGCUGAUGAGAGGAUGAAUUAGGCACUGUUUGUAGAGGACUUUAUGAUUCAGGGAUCAAAAGGGCUACAUCUGUCCCUCUGUUUUAAGGUUUUCUAUAGUGCUCAUCACUAUAGAUUCAAUAGUGCUGAUCCUGUGAACACAUGAGGAAAGACAAGCAUCCACGCGUGAAGAGCCCCAUUGAUUAGCUAAGCCCUGAUGUCACUCAUCACACAGUUGUGCAUUCCUAUUCUCUCUAUAUCCAAAUGCCAGGAGUGUUUUUCAAGUCUAGUAAUGGGACUACUUACAUGAAUAAACUUAAACAUAUGUGCUUAACUUGAAA